rnacentral:rRNA from 1 species
UUGAACGCUGGCGGCAUGCUUUACACAUGCAAGUCGAACGGCAGCGCGGGCUUCGGCCUGGCGGCGAGUGGCGAACGGGUGAGUAAUGCAUCGGAACGUGCCCAGUAGUGGGGGAUAGCCCGGCGAAAGCCGGAUUAAUACCGCAUACGACCUGAGGGUGAAAGCGGGGGACCGAAAGGCCUCGCGCUAUUGGAGCGGCCGAUGUCGGAUUAGCUAGUUGGUGGGGUAAAGGCUUACCAAGGCGACGAUCCGUAGCUGGUCUGAGAGGACGACCAGCCACACUGGGACUGAGGCACGGCCCAGACUCCUACGGGAGGCAGCAGUGGGGAAUUUUGGACAAUGGGGGCAACCCUGAUCCAGCCAUGCCGCGUGCGGGAAGAAGGCCUUCGGGUUGUAAACCGCUUUUGUUCGGGAAGAAAUCCUCUGGGCUAAUACCCCGGGGGGAUGACGGUACCGGAAGAAUAAGCACCGGCUAACUACGUG